rnacentral:lncRNA from 1 species
UAAAAAAUCUUAAAAAAGCCUUUAAUGAAACUGCCGAAAGGUCGACUUUGCCAGAGGGAUUUGCAUUUGAUAUUUUAGACGUUUUAUUACAUCUUACGAAUUAAUUAUUUUUUCAGGCAUUCUAUGGCUGAGUUGUCUAAGUAUUCGAACUACUUUAUCACCAGUUAAUGAGUUCGAAUCCGCCAUUCAUGCAAUGAUCAACUCCAAUAUUAAACAAUAAAAUCAAAAAAAUAUCUCUAAGCAAAAUUCAAAACGGAUAGUUCCAUUUUUUAGAAUAGGUCCAGUUUUAUUGAAAAUAUAUCAUUCGAGUUGAGCACUACAGCCACAUUUGCCGAAACACGGACCAC